UACGGGGGGGGCAAGCGUUGUUCGGAAUUACUGGGCGUAAAGGGCGCGUAGGCGGCCCGCUUAGUCGGACGUGAAAUCCCUCGGCUCAACCGAGGAGCUGCGUCCGAUACUGGCGGGCUCGAAUCCGGGAGAGGGAUGUGGAAUUCCAGGUGUAGCGGUGAAAUGCGUAGAGAUGUGGAGGAACACCGAUGGCGAAGGCAGCCCCCUGGGUCAAGAUUGACGCUCAUGCACGAAAGCGUGGGGAGCAAACAGG
rnacentral:rRNA from 1 species